rnacentral:lncRNA from 1 species
ACCCGUCCACGCUGGCCUGAUGGCCCGACAAAAGAACAAAAAAAAAUAAAGAUGGAUUAUCGGUGGUGGAUGCAAGCACCGCCAACCCGGCCCCAUCCCCACCGGCCUGGCCUAUCCUCGCCAGUGUCUCCCCCAUCCUCGAUCCAUCGGUGGCCCGAGAACCCCCCCCCCCAAAAAAAAUAAAGAAAGCUUACCUUAUCGGCG